rnacentral:rRNA from 1 species
AUGACUCCUGAUGAGAUCUCAGCCAAAGAGUCUGAGCUCCAAGCUCAUGCCAAAGAGCUAGACGAGCUUGAGGCUAAACUCAAGCGCGAAGCUGCAGUCGCCGCUGAAGAAAAAGGCAAGGGGACGGCCGUCCAUACGCCACCCAGUCCCUCCGCGUACGCCACUUCGAUCAAGCUCCAUGUCCCCAUCACCCUCUAUCUCAACGAGUCCAACUACACCAACUGGAGGAAGCUCCUUCUCCCUGCUCUUGGUCGCUAUGGCCUCACCGCUCAUGUGAUUGGCGACACUAGCGCCACGCCUUCCGACACCUCGCCCACUUCAGACUGGGGAUGCGACAACUUCAUGUUGAUCUCCUGGAUAUAUGGCUCCAUCUCCAUCGACUUCUUCAGCAUCGUCAAGCGUCCUGGCUCCACGGCACGCACGAUCUGGUAUGCCAUUGAGAACCUGUUUCGAGACAACAAAAAGCACUGUGCCAUCCAGCUUGAGGUGGAGUUCCGCAACACUCCGCAAGGUGGUCAGACCGUCAGCGAUUACUGCUCGAAGCUCAAAGCCCUGGCUGACUCCCUCACCGACGUCGACCAACCGGUCAGUGACGAGACGCUUGUCCUCACCCUUCUGCGUGGCCUUAACAAUAGCUUCACGCACCUCCGCUCCUUCAUCCCGUUUCAGGUGCCCUUCACAACGUUCCUUCAGACACGCUCGGCGCUCAUCUUAGAAGAGACACAAAAGAAAACUGAUGCCAAGAACGCCGCCUCCACUGCUCUAUGGGCAAGCGGCAAUAGCAUCCUACCUAGCGCUGCUGGCGAGCGCGCUCCACUAUCUGGCUCUGGGGGCGACCGUUCAGGCGGGCGUGGUGGCUCUGGCUACAACAACACCCCAUUCUACCGCGGUGGUGGCCGCGGCGGUCGUGGUCAUGGCCGCGGCAACCCAUGGCAGUUCAAUCCAUGGACUGGGGCCCCGACUCGGGCUCAUCUUCUUCAGCAACAUCAGUCAUCAACUCCAUGGCAGCAACCCACGGCUUCCUGGCAACUUCGUCCAUGGCGUGCAUCGUCUCAAGGACUUCUCUGUCCUCGUCCCAACACUGCACCGCAAGCUUACACUGCCUACGGUCAGACCUACAACAACACCAACAUGAUGCCGUCCUCUACUUCAAACCCGCACCAGCAGAUGGUCGAUCCAGCGCUCCUGGCUGCCCUCAACAAUAUGCAGAUCCCCGGCACGCACGAGUGGCUAAAUUCAAAUGACAGAGAGUGCAGAGAGCAGAGAGAGAGAGAGAGAGGAGGGCAGGGGAGAGGAGAGGGAGAGGCUUACGGGGCAGUGGAGAGGGCGGCGGCAUCGAGGUCGAGGGUGGCGGCGGCGGCUAGGUCGAGGGCGGGCGCAGGGGCGACAACCGGCGAGGUCGAGGGCGGGCACAAGGGAGAUGGACGGCGAGGGAAAAAACACCACCCACCCGCUCCCCACAGCCCACUCCCCUCCCCUAACCUCUCCCGAUCUCACCACCGCCUCCCUGCCCGCGCUGCCAUUGGCCCGCACCAGAUCGCCUCGGCACAGCCGCCGCCCUCACUAGAUCGCCCCGCCACAGCCGCCGCCCUCACCAGAUCGCCCCGCCACCGCGGUCUCCCUCCUCGGUCGUGCCACCACCAUAGUUUCCCUCCCCAAAUCAUGCCACAGCUGCCACCUCCGGCCUCCUCUGCACAACACCCCUGCUCCUUGACCUUCGUUUGUUCGAAGCUGACGGCGCUCCAUAUGUGCAGCAGCACCGCUGCCGCUACAGCUAAUCAGCCACUGCUUCUUUCCCAUAAGAUGAAUGUGUGGGUGGGGAUCCUCUGGCCGCACGACAACCACCAAACCCGCGUCGCAAGCCGCUGGGAUCCUGCCUCCAUGCAACCUUACUCCACAUGUUAUCGUGACCUUCCUCUACUUGCCGCCGUGACCAGCAGCGGCCAUGACCCUCCAAGCGCCGGCGCAGCUACACUCCACCGCUGUCGGUGGGCCGCCAACCACCACCUCCUCAUACAACCCGAUAGCUCCCUCCACAAACUAGCGCCGCCUGCCCCCACUACAUCUGCCACCUCCUGUAGUCUCUGCACAGCGGCGGCACCUUCCCAUGUUGUAUACCCGCAUCCUCUACCUUCGUCUACAAGCGUCUCAAUCCCCAGCAACACCCCUGUACAGAAUAGAUGCAGAGAAAAUAGUGGCUUGUCGGAUGUUGUCGCCAUGGAUGACGACGGUGAUCUCGUUCUCAAUCGGAGAAUGAAGAGACACUGGAGAAGGGACGAGGAUCAUGUCCUCACCGUGCAGCAUGGCGUCACCUCUUCGCUCCGGAGCGUCGGUCUUCUUGCUGGAGAGCAUUCAGUGUCGGAUUUCCUACUAUGUUUGGAAGGCAGCCAUGCUGCUAACCUGACUUUGUGUUGCACAAGAGCUUCACGUCGUCUGAAUGCGACGGUCAAAAUGUUGUGUCCGAGAAGUUCAAGGGAGCACAAAAAAAUGCGGCUGGCCAAGGUCCGUGGAUGUUGA